rnacentral:rRNA from 1 species
UACGGGGGGGCAAGCGUUGUUCGGAAUUACUGGGCGUAAAGGGCUCGUAGGUGGCCAACUAAGUCAGACGUGAAAUCCCUCGGCUUAACCGGGGAACUGCGUCUGAUACUGGAUGGCUAGAGUUUGGGAGAGGGAUGCGGAAUUCCAGGUGUAGCGGUGAAAUGCGUAGAUAUCAGGAGGAACACCGGUGGCGAAGGCGGGUCUCUGGGCAGUAACUGACGCUGGAGGAGCGAAAGCGUGGGGAGCGAACAGG